AGAGUUUGAUCCUGGCUCAGGAUUAACGCUGGCGGCGUGCAUAACACAUGCAAGUCGAACGAUGAAGAUUAUUAGACUUCUUCGGAAUGAAAAUAAUUGGAUUAGUGGCGGACGGGUGAGUAACGCGUGAGUAACCUGCCUUACACAAGGGGAUAGCCGUUGGAAACGACGAAUAAUACCCUAUGAAACUAUCACUUCGCAUGAAGCGAUAGUCAAAGUGUUAGCGGUGUAAGAUGGACUUGCGUCUGAUUAGCUAGUUGGUGAGAAAAAAGCCCACCAAGGCAACGAUCAGUAGCCGGCUUGAGAGAGUGUACGGCCACAUUGGGACUGAGACACGGCCCAGACUCCUACGGGAGGCAGCAGUGGGGAAUUUUGCACAAUGGGGGAAACCCUGAUGCAGCGACGCCGCGUGAUUUAGAAGGCCUUCGGGUUGUAAAAAUCUUUUGUAUAGGAAGAAAAUGACAGUACUAUACGAAUAAGGUCCGGCUAAUUACGUGCCAGCAGCCGCGGUAAUACGUAAGGACCGAGCGUUGUCCGGAAUCAUUGGGCGUAAAGGGUACGUAGGCGGGUCAUUAAGUUAGAAGUCAAAGGCUAUAGCUCAACUAUAGUAAGCUUCUAAAACUGGAGACCUUGAGUAAUGGAAGGGAAAGUGGAAUUCCUAGUGUAGCGGUGGAAUGCGCAGAUAUUAGGAGGAAUACCGGUGGCGAAGGCGACUUUCUGGCCAUUAACUGACGCUGAGGUACGAAAGCGUGGGUAGCAAACAGGAUUAGAUACCCUGGUAGUCCACGCCGUAAACGAUGAGUGUUAGGUGUCUGGAGUAAAUCUGGGUGCCGCAGCUAACGCAUUAAACACUCCGCCUGGGGAGUACGCACGCAAGUGUGAAACUUAAAGGAAUUGACGG
rnacentral:rRNA from 1 species